rnacentral:rRNA from 1 species
GCCAGCAGACACAUCUCCCUGCAACACACAGCUGGCAGCCUACUGAAGCUCAGCAGGUGGGAGCCUGGCCAGUACCUGGAUGGGAGACCUCCUGGGAAAAACUGAGGUUGCUGCUGGAA